AACAGAUGGCUGGACGAGCAGGAAGGAAAGGGGUAGACACUGAAGGUGAGAGUGUGCUGGUGUGUAAGGAGGCAGAGCGUCAGAAAGGUAUUAGUCUCCUUAAAGGUGCUCUUCAACCAAUCAGCAGCUGCCUGGUGAGAAGGGAGGGAGAGGGCAUCACCACCAGCAUGCUGCGAGCCAUCCUAGAGAUCAUUGUCGGAGGUGUGGCCAGCACUCC